GGCACAAACUUGACGUAGAGUAGAUUAGUAGGGUCAGCUGAUACUUCUAACUUUCUCUACUUCAAAUUUGGGCCC
rfam:Haemonchus placei strain MHpl1 genome assembly, scaffold: HPLM_scaffold0002727